UCCGUCUGCGCCGCCCGGAGGCCCAGUUACUGCCGGCCGCGGAACUCUUGGGAGUGUGGUCGAGGUCCCUGGCCCCAGGUGAUCCAGAAGACUUGGUGAAAUUGUGGAGCACAGGGAGGAAAAAGCCUUGGUUUCUUAACCACAGUGCUGAAGCUUAUCUACUGACACGAUCCUCCUCCUCCUCCUCCUCUUCAUUCCAAGCUUAUUCUAACAAACAAAUCAAAGCA